rnacentral:lncRNA from 1 species
AAUUUAUAAGUUUGGUUUACAAUUCUGCUGGGAAACCUUGAAUGUUUUUAUUAUAAAUUUAGACUGCUCUUCCCAAGAGAACCCAAUAAAUCCUAGAAAAACAAGAUCAAUUCAGACUUGCCUUUUGCGUGCACUCUCCAAUCAGGGACAGCAACCUAACCUAAGACACGUGCUACUGAGGUUGGAGGAAAAGAAGCCCCCCCCGCCACCCGCACCAGAGAGCAUCAGUGUUGGAUAGUAAAGCUCCACGUCCUACAUUUGUGCUCCGCCAACUUGUCAGAAAGUGUGGGUCAAAUUAAAAAAAGAAAAAAAGGAAUCCCAAAAGCUUUCCAAAUUGCAGAUCAAUUUUAAAAGCUAUCCACCUACCCAGUAGAGAGGGAAAUAUUUGCUUUCCAAUCUGAAAAGAGAGAAGAAUGGAACAGAGGCUGAAUGGAACAUGAGUCCAGUAUCUUGAAGUGUUGAUUACAUAAUUGGUGUUCACUUGAAGGGUUUCCAGCUGGAUGAGAAUGAAAACCUCUGCCUGCUUCACCCACUGCUCUGCCCGGUGUCCAGAGCUGGCCCAGCAGCAGGAGGACCUCAGUGACGUGCACUGGUGCCCUGAGAUGCCAGGACAAAGGCACAAGUUCCACAUCUGUCCUUCCUUCCCUGCAAAGGAGCAGUCUCGGCAUUGUGACCUUCUCCCAGGCCUGCAGAGUCAAGUUGGCUGCUGAUCCCGGAUGAUCUAGCCACGCUGAUGCCCUCAGUGUUCUGAGUACCUCAAGACAAGCAGGCCUUUUGGACAUUGCCCCAAAAGGCUGAGGAGCCAAACCCUCACUUGUUCUUUCUCCUGUGAAAGAAGUAGGCCAAGGGAUCUCUCUCAGCUCUGAGUUUUGUCAGCCUGAAGGAGAGUUGAUGCGCGCCAAGUAAAACUGCUCUUUUACCCUUUUUAGUGUGACUGAUCUUGAAUUACG